rnacentral:rRNA from 1 species
AUAUAUGACAAAAUCACUCUGAAUGCACCUGAUCUCGAAAGAUCUCGGAAGCUAAACAGGCUUUGAUCCUGGAUAGUGCUUGGAUGGGCUUUCACCAUGCAUAAAACAGCUAUUGUAGAUU